CCUAAUUCCUAAACCAAAUUAUCCGAAUAGUAACCCAUUCCCGAUUGCUCUUUUCCCUUCCCUCCUCUGCCUUGCCUAAAUCCCUAAACCAAAGUCUAAACCUAAUCAAUUCUUCAUUUUUAUUCAAUAUCAAUCCCUUGUUUUCCUCCCCUUCUUUUUACCGAAUCUGCUUUUCCCUGUCCCGACCUACCUGCCGUCGGCCAUCUGCUCUCCCCAUCGGCUGCCAUCUUGCAUCGCGAACGGUAUUAACGACACCCUACUGCCACCUUGUGUCGAUUUUCUACUGCUCUAAUCUACCCAUUGGUUUCCUCUGCUGUGUGGCUGAGUCUUUGAGUGCAGGUGCAUCAGUAUUUUUUAACUUUAAUCAUUAAUCUCCACUCCUGGAAAAUUAUUUGAAGCUAAAAGAACAACAUUCAAGCCAGAAUGUGGGAUCAGAUCCUGUGGAAGGAGAUGGAGGAACUAUUAAUGAGGAUCAAUUGUUCAUUACUGCAGCAGGAGGAUGGCAAGGAAGUUGAGUUUAUGGUUUAGGUAGUGCUGCCUCUUCUGCCUUCUCUCAAACAGGAACUGUGGGAAAAACAACAAAUGUUCCAUCAUCCCAAUCACCAGAAUGGAAGAAGGAAAUUGAAGCAAAGUUUGAAGAGAAGUAUAAUAGUUUGCAGAAACUUGUACUAGACCAAAAUCAGAUAAUAGCUCAAAUGCGUGAUGAACUACAGGCAAGGAGGAUGGGACAGCAGUCUUCCUCAUUGAUGCCAUCAACAUCUGAUAUGCCUCCAGCUCAAAGAUCCCCUGGUUAUUCACAUAUAGAUUAGCAUGAUAUCAUUUCUCACUGACUUUAAUAAUAUAUUUUAUGAUAUGAAUUUGAUACUAUUUGGAUUAAUUAUGUAUUUUGAGAUAUUUUAAGUUUCAUAGUCUUGAACUAUAGUAAUGUUUUGGAUUUUUAGAUUGCAUAAUUAUGAAAUGAAGUUGAUGUUUAUAUAUUA